GUGGGGAAUAUUGCACAAUGGGCGCAAGCCUGAUGCAGCGACGCCGCGUGAGGGAUGGAGGCCUUCGGGUUGUAAACCUCUUUUAUCGGGGAGCAAGCGAGAGUGAGUUUACCCGUUGAAUAAGCACCGGCUAACUACGUGCCAGCAGCCGCGGUAAUACGUAGGGUGCAAGCGUUAUCCGGAAUUAUUGGGCGUAAAGGGCUCGUAGGCGGUUCGUCGCGUCCGGUGUGAAAGUCCAUCGCUUAACGGUGGAGCCGCGCCGGGUACGGGCGGGCUCGAGUGCGGUAGGGGAGACUGGAAUUCCCGGUGUAACGGUGGAAUGUGUAGAUAUCGGGAAGAACACCAAUGGCGAAGGCAGGUCUCUGGGCCGUUACUGACGCUGAGGAGCGAAAGCGUGGGGAGCGAACAGGAUUAGAAACCCCGGUAGUCC
rnacentral:rRNA from 1 species